AGCGAACGCUGGCGGCAGGCCUAACACAUGCAAGUCGAACGAUCCUUCGGGAUAGUGGCGGACGGGUGAGUAACACGUGGGAACGUGCCCUUUGGUUCGGAACAACUCAGGGAAACUUGAGCUAAUACCGAAUGUGCCCUUCGGGGGAAAGAUUUAUCGCCAUUGGAGCGGCCCGCGUCUGAUUAGCUAGUUGGUGAGGUAAAGGCUCACCAAGGCGACGAUCAGUAGCUGGUCUGAGAGGAUGAUCAGCCACAUUGGGACUGAGACACGGCCCAAACUCCUACGGGAGGCAGCAGUGGGGAAUCUUGCGCAAUGGGCGAAAGCCUGACGUAGCCAUGCCGCGUGAAUGAUGAAGGUCUUAGGAUUGUAAAAUUCUUUCACCGGGGACGAUAAUGACGGUACCCGGAGAAGAAGCCCCGGCUAACUUCGUGCCAGCCGCCGCGGUAAUAC
rnacentral:rRNA from 1 species